CCUACGAGGUGCAGCAGUGAGGAAUAUUGGUCAAUGGGCGCGAGCCUGAACCAGCCAAGUAGCGUGAAGGAUGACUGCCCUACGGGUUGUACACUUCUUUUAUAAAGGAAUAAAGUGAGGCACGUGUGCCUUUUUGUAUGUACUUUAUGAAUAAGGAUCGGCUAACUCCGUUCCAGCAGCCGCGGUAAUACGGAGGAUCCGAGCGUUAUCCGGAUUUAUUUGGUUUAAAGGGAGCGUAGAUGGGUUGUUAAGUCAGUUGUGAAAGUUUGCGGCUCAACCGUAAAAUUGCAAUUGAUACUGGCAGCCUUGAGUACAGUAGAGGUAGGCGGAAUUCGUGGUGUAGCGGUGAAAUGCUUAGAGAUCACGAAGAACACCGAUUGCGAAGGCAGCUUACUAAACUGCCACUGACAUUGAUGCUCGAAAGUGUGGGUAUCAAACAGGAUUAGAUACCCGAGUAGUC
rnacentral:rRNA from 1 species